rfam:Bodo saltans strain Lake Konstanz genome assembly, contig: BS_scaffold1354
GCCGCGAUAGCUCAGUUGGGAGAGCGUUAGACUGAAGAUCUAAAGGUCCCUGGUUCGAUCCCGGGUCGCGGCA